rnacentral:rRNA from 2 species
GCGUUUUCCCAAAGAAUUUAUUGUUUCUUCCUCUCUAUAUAGGCAAGUAAUGUGAAUUGCAGAAUUCAGUGAAUCAUCGAAUCUUUAAACGCACAUUGCGCCCGUUAGUAUAUAGGGAACGUUGUUUAUUAGGGCCU